rnacentral:lncRNA from 1 species
AUGCAGUGCCCCUCUUCUGCCUGACUGUGACCUCAUAGACCAUGGAUUCCGCAGAUUCCUGCAGUUCAAGGCUGGGGCUGACCAGCCAGGUGUGCGCAGGCGAUGGCAAAGAUGAGCCGAGUUCUGACCCUCUUUGUUCUCUUCCUGGACUAUUGGAUCUCUGCAGAGGGCUACCCUCACUUCCGAAUCCAAGAUGACAGUCGGCAUCAGGCCUCUCCUGAGGACCCGACCGUCGCAGCUUUUGAGAAAGCAAGCAUGGCAGCCAGUCCCACUGCCAGGGAAGACCCAGAUGAAAGAGCCAAUGUGUCCUGGAAUUCUUCGGAACCAGACUCUUCUCUUGACAGUGUGGACAAACUUCCGGAUGAUGAUCUGCGUUGUGAGCAGCUUCUGUACUUCCUGCAGAAGAACAUCAUCUUGGUUGCCUUCACGGUGGUGGGGAUCUUUGGGGCCAUAGUGCUGUUGGUGUUCGCGCUGACUUCUUGCAUGAAGAGGAGCCAGCCAUUGCAUCCUCCAGCGAACACGAGUUACACUAUUUUUAUAUUGGAUGAAAAGAGUUGGGGGCGAAAGGCUUAGGAAAGUGUAAAAAAAUUGUAGAAAAACACAAACAGUUGAAGUACAAUUCCUGUGUGGGCCACCCAAACCAGGAUCUGAGACAACGAUUCAAGGAUAUUCUCCAUCCAGACAUCAUGGAGAGGCUACUGAGUCUUUGGCUGUGAGGUGUAUUUAUCUUCUCUUCCCAUUCUUUUUUUUUUUUUUUCUCUUCCCAUUCUUUAAUGGAACAAGAAAGAAUGCUUUAGCAUCUAUGUCUGUGGUGACAUGGCACUAAUGAUCAGUGUAAGAGACUUAGGACAAUUAUUUAAAGACAAACCUGACCAACGAUAAUGGAUUUAUUUAUUUAAUAAAGCACUGAUUUAUGUAUUUCUUUAGUUAUGGAUUGCAGAUGCUAAUUGAAUACCUGAUAUGUAUUGUAGCUAAUAUUGUAAGACUGAGGGCCUUACCAAACACUCCGAGGAGCUGACUAUAGUGAAGCACACCCAGGAAUCCCAGUGGUGCCUUCAGAAUGUAAGACCGAGAGCCUUACCAAACGCUCCAAGGAGCUGACUAG